UAGGGAAUCUUCCACAAUGGACGCAAGUCUGAUGGAGCAACGCCGCGUGAGUGAAGAAGGUUUUCGGACCGUAAAGCUCUGUUGUUGGUGAAGAAGGAUAGAGGUAGUAACUGGCCUUUUAUUUGACGGUAAUCAACCAGAAAGUCACGGCUAACUACGUGCCAGCAGCCGCGGUAAUACGUAGGUGGCAAGCGUUGUCCGGAUUUAUUGGGCGUAAAGCGAGCGCAGGCGGAAGAAUAAGUCUGAUGUGAAAGCCCUCGGCUUAACCGAGGAAUUGCAUCGGAAACUGUUUUCUUGAGUGCAGAAGAGGAGAGUAGAACUCCAUGUGUAGCGGUGGAAUGCGUAGAUAUAUGGAAGAAUACCAGUGGCGAAGGCGGCUCUCUGGUCUGCAACUGACGCUGAGGCUCGAAAGCAUGGGUAGCGAACAGGAUUAGAUACCCUUGGUAGUCCAUGCCGUAAACGAUGAGUGCUAAGUGUUGGGAGGCUUCCGCCUCUCAGUGCUGCAGCUAACGCAUUAAGCACUCCGCCUGGGGGAGUACGACCGCAAGGUUGAAAC
rnacentral:rRNA from 1 species